rnacentral:rRNA from 1 species
UGGGGAAUAUUGCACAAUGGAGGGAACUCUGAUGCAGCGACGCCGCGUGAGUGAUGAAGGAAUUCGUUUCGUAAAACUCUGUUCUAUGGGAAGAAAAGGACUGUACCAUAGGAGAAAGCUCCGGCUAAAUACGUGCCAGCAGCCGCGGUAAUACGUAUGGAGCGAGCGUUGUCCGGAAUUAUUGGGCGUAAAGGGUGCGCAGGCGGCUUUACAAGUUGGAUGUGAAAUAUUGUGGCUCAACCACAAACGUGCAUCCAAAACUGCAAAGCUUGAGGUAAGGAGAGGUAAGUGGAAUUCCUGGUGUAGCGGUGGAAUGCGUAGAUAUCAGGAGGAAUACCGGUGGCGAAGGCGACUUACUGGACUUAAACUGACGCUCAGGCACGAAAGCGUGGGGAGCAAACAGG